ensembl:lncRNA
UCGAUAUCCAUGAGAGCAGAGAAUUUUUGUAAAAAAAAAAAAAAAAGUAACACUAUCAAAAGGUUAAACAAAAAAGACACAGCCGCCUUUCAUAUUUACCAAGGGUGCCAAUAUUAGUGGACGACACUGUAAAUUAGACGGACGGAUGGAUGGAUAGAAAGAUAGAUAAGCAGAAGAUAAUUAUGUAAUGACACUGCAGAUCUAACAACGCUGAUUGGUUUAUUUAUUUAUUUAUUUAUUUAUUUUACUACAUUUAAGGUAACACUUUCUAUGAGGCCCAUGCUUAUGAUGAACUAUUGACCCGUUUAUAAUUUAUAAGCAUGUAUUACUGCUCCAUAAACACACUUAUAACGACACAUAAAGACCUAUACUUCAUUAUAAUAACAGUUUACACUAUUGUUAUAAUUACUUAAAAGUGAUACAAUUUGCUUUUUCAAUGCCCAUGCUCAUAAUGCAUUAUACACCAAUUUAUAAGUAUUAGUCAGUCUUAUGGUUCCAUUAAUGUAUUUAUAAAAAUACAGGCUGCAUUUUUAUAAUGUUAUAUUAUAGUUGUAAUGACUUAUUGGUAAAGCAGAUUUAUUUCUAGGCCCAAUUAGUGAACUAUUUUAUAUUGUUGUUGACGGUUACGUCGUGCUGCCUUAUAAACACUUAUUGUGAGUUAUAAUACAAUUACUAACCUUUAUCAGUGCAUAAUCGAUGGCUUAAAGUAAAGUGAAAGCAUAGGAUGCAGUUUCCAUAAUGGAAAUUGAAUGCGGUUGGCAUGGAGGCGAUCAGCCUGUGGCACUGCUGAGGUGUUCUGGAAGCCCGGGUUGCUUUGAUGGCGGUCUUCAGCUCGUCUGUAUUGUCGGGUCUGGUGUCUCUCGUAGAUUCUCUAUGGGGUUCGGGUCAGGCGGGUCGGCUGGACGAUCGAGCACAGUAAUACCACGGUCACAAACCAGUUACUAGAAGUUUUGGCGCCGUGGGCAGGUGCCGAGUCCUGCUGAAAAGGAAAUCGGCACCUCCAUAAAGCUCGUCAGCAGAUGGAAGCAUGAAGUGCUCUAAAAUCUCCUGGUAGAAUCUCCUCUCGACUUGAGAAAACACAGUGGACCAACACCAGUAGAUGACACGGCACCCCAAAUCAUCACUGACAUCAUGUGAAAAGAUUACUUUGCACCACUGAUCAACGGUCCAGUUCUUUUCCUCCUUAGCCCAGUAUUUCCAGGAAUCCCCUUUGUAAAUUCCCAAGGGAUUCCUGGGAAAACUGGACCCCGGGGACAGGGAAGAAAGGCUCUGUAUCAGACAAAAGGAUACCACAAAACAGGUAAAUACUAUCUAUAAAACAUUUCACAUUUAUCCAAGCGAAUAACUGAACCAAACAGAUUAAAGUUAUGGGCAGUGUAAAU